UUUCCCAGUUUUCAGGCUGCAUUACUGUAAAGUGAUGUCAUCUUAUGAACUUACAGACUUACUAACUCUUCUGUUAUUUUCCCUUGCCCACUUAGUCACUGCAUCCACAUUACUGGUGAUUAUUUAUCAAAACUAUCAUUGUGUUAGUAUUUUGUGAAAACACCAAUAGUCAACCCUACAACAUCUCCGCAAUAUCGAUAUUGAUGUGUAUUUGGUCAAAAAUAUU